rnacentral:rRNA from 1 species
CCUACGGGAGGCAGCAGUGGGGAAUAUUGGACAAUGGGCGCAAGCCUGAUCCAGCCAUGCCGCGUGUGUGAUGAAGGCCUUAGGGUUGUAAAGCACUUUCGCCGGUGAAGAUAAUGACGGUAACCGGAGAAGAAGCCCCGGCUAACUUCGUGCCAGCAGCCGCGGUAAUA